CAGCCGCCACGGGAAUACGUAGGGUGCGAGCGUUAAUCGGAAUUACUGGGCGUAAAGCGUGCGCAGGCGGUUUUGUAAGACAGGCGUGAAAUCCCCGGGCUCAACCUGGGAAUGGCGCUUGUGACUGCAAAGCUAGAGUGCGGCAGAGGGGGAUGGAAUUCCGCGUGUAGCAGUGAAAUGCGUAGAUAUGCGGAGGAACACCGAUGGCGAAGGCAAUCCCCUGGGCCUGCACUGACGCUCAUGCACGAAAGCGUGGGGAGCAAACAGGAUUAGAUACCCCUGUAGUCCCUGUCUCUUAUAA
rnacentral:rRNA from 1 species